UACGUAGGGUGCGAGCGUUGUCCGGAAUUAUUGGGCGUAAAGAGCUUGUAGGCGGUUUGUCGCGUCCGCUGUGAAAAUCCGAGGCUCAACCUCGGACUUGCAGUGGGUACGGGCAGACUAGAGUGUGGUAGGGGAGACUGGAAUUCCUGGUGUAGCGGUGGAAUGCGCAGAUAUCAGGAGGAACACCGAUGGCGAAGGCAGGUCUCUGGGCCACUACUGACGCUGAGAAGCGAAAGCAUGGGGAGCGAACAGG
rnacentral:rRNA from 1 species